rnacentral:rRNA from 1 species
GCUUGCUUCUCUUGAGAGCGGCGGACGGGUGAGUAAUGCCUAGGAAUCUGCCUGGUAGUGGGGGAUAACGCGGAAACGCGCUAAUACCGCAUACGUCCUCGGGAGAAAGCAGGGGACCUUCGGGCCUUGCGCUAUCAGAUGAGCCUAGGUCGGAUUAGCUAGUUGGUGAGGAAUGGCUCACCAAGGCGACGAUCCGUAACUGCUGAGAGGAUGAUCAGUCACACUGGAACUGAGACACGUCCAACUUACGGGAGGCAGCAGUGGGGAAUAUUGGACAAUGGGCGAAAGCCUGAUCCAGCCAUGCCGCGUGUGUGAAGAAGGUCUUCGGAUUGUAAAGCACUUUAAGUUGGGAGGAAGGGCAUUAACCUAAUACGUUAGUGUUUUGACGUUACCGACAGAAUAAGCACCGGCUAACUCUGUGCCAGCAGCCGCGGUAAUACAGAGGGUGCAAGCGUUAAUCGGAAUUACUGGGCGUAAAGCGCGCGUAGGUGGUUUGUUAAGUUGGAUGUGAAAUCCCCGGGCUCAACCUGGGAACUGCAUUCAAAACUGACUGACUAGAGUAUGGUAGAGGGUGGUGGAAUUUCCUGUGUAGCGGUGAAAUGCGUAGAUAUAGGAAGGAACACCAGUGGCGAAGGCGACCACCUGGACUAAUACUGACACUGAGGUGCGAAAGCGUGGGGAGCAAACAGGAUUAGAUACCCUGGUAGUCCACGCCGUAAACGAUGUCAACUAGCCGUUGGAAGCCUUGAGCUUUUAGUGGCGCAGCUAACGCAUUAAGUUGACCGCCUGGAGUACGGCCGCAAGGUUAAAACUCAAAUGAAUUGACGGCCCGCACAAGCGG